AUAGCGUAUACUAAAGUUGUUGUGGUUAAAAAGCUCGUAGUUGGAUCUCAGUUCUAGUCAGGCGGUCCACUUGCCAGUGGCUACUGCCUGGCUGAACACUUUAUCGACUCUGUCUACGGUACUCUUAACCGAGCGUCGUAGGCGAUCGAUACGUUUACUUUGAAAAAAUUAGAGUGCUCAAAGCAGGCUUUAAAAGCCCGAAUAAUGUUGCAUGGAAUAAUGGAAUAGGACCUCGGUUCUAUUUUGUUGGUCUUCGGAAUCCGAGGUAAUGAUUAAGAGGGACAGACGGGGGCAUUCGUAUUGCGACGCUAGAGGUGAAAUUCUUGGACCGUUGCAAGACGAA
rnacentral:rRNA from 1 species